CAGUCUUGACUUCCCCGUGGUCCGUGAUUUCAGGUUUUCCCCAGAUGAGGAUCCUGGCAAGAAACACCAGUCACUGUCUCCCCCACCCCCCCGGCCAAUAUUACUGUUGGAACUGUACAUGGCCUCACUAAAAGAGCUCCUACAGACAUCACAGACCUCUCUGUCCUUUCUCUUUUCCGUUCUAGAUAGAGCCAAAGAAAAGAAGAGAGAAUAAGAAUAACUGGUCUUCGUUUUGGGAGCAGGCAACUUGAUGCAUAUGAUGUGAAUGUACUCCAAGUAGAGUGCUGGCUUGCUGUCCCGCUGCGAAUCCUUCAUGGAAGGCUAGCUGCCUUCAGAAUUAAGUCUAAACCAUUAACUGCAUAGAUUCUGGACUGGCCUCAGAAGAUGAGGAUUUUUCUGAAUGAAAUGCAAUCGAUUGCAGCUGAAUGAAGUGCAAUAUGAGUGGUCUGAUGCAGAACUGAAACUGCCGACACCAAAACCUUCAGGGACAACUGGCUGGGAGUCCUGGUGCGGGCACCAGCGCCUCCAGCUGUUGCUUUUGAGUCAUCAACAUCAGUUGUGAGAAGACAUUUAAGGUUUUCUCAUCAGUGCCAUUAUUGAUGUCUUGGCCUGGGUCGUCUUUGGCUGUGAAUUUGCAAAUUUGUGCAUUGCCCAGUAUUUAGAAGCUUCCCUGGCUUUGUAUCUCCCAGAUAUCAAGAGCAACCCACAGCUCAUCUCUACUCGUGAUAACCAAAAUGUCUGUAUCAUUAUCGAUUAUCUUCUUUGGAGGAAAAAAAAAUCUCACUGAAAACCAUGUGGUCUCAAUGGUUCCUAUUAGACUG
rnacentral:lncRNA from 1 species